GUGCUCACUUCGGCAGCACAUAUACUAAAAUUGAAACGAUACAGAGAGAUUAGCAUGGCCCCUACACAAGGAUGACAUGCAAAUUCAUGAAGCGUUCCAUAUUUUU
rnacentral:snRNA from 1 species